rnacentral:lncRNA from 1 species
CGGGCCCAGGGCUGGAGGCUGUGACAGAAGGUGCGGGUCCUGUUUGGGCCCGGAAAGGAGCGGCAGCCUAGCUUCCUCUUUCACUCACCACAGAAGGACAAACCAGCGCCGCGAUACUGAGCAGAAGUGAGGGGACGGCAGGACACUUACUGCAGCGUGCUGUCCCCCCUCCCCCUGCACCACCAUAAGUCACUGAGAGGAGAACUCCCAGGAUUGCAGAGCGCACGGCUGUUAAAGGGAAGUUCAACUUAGUGAAGGUAGAGGCCCGGCCAGGAACUGUGU